rnacentral:rRNA from 1 species
CUCCGGCAGUGGCGCNUGCUAUACAUGCAGUAGAACGCUGAAGAGAGGAGCUUGCUCUUCUUGGAUGAGUUGCGAACGGGUGAGUAACGCGUAGGUAACCUGCCUUGUAGCGGGGGAUAACUAUUGGAAACGAUAGCUAAUACCGCAUAACAAUGGAUGACACAUGUCAUUUAUUUGAAAGGGGCAAUUGCUCCACUACAAGAUGGACCUGCGUUGUAUUAGCUAGUAGGUGAGGUAAUGGCUCACCUAGGCGACGAUACAUAGCCGACCUGAGAGGGUGAUCGGCCACACUGGGACUGAGACACGGCCCAGACUCCUACGGGAGGCAGCAGUAGGGAAUCUUCGGCAAUGGGGGCAACCCUGACCGAGCAACGCCGCGUGAGUGAAGAAGGUUUUCGGAUCGUAAAGCUCUGUUGUAAGUCAAGAACGGGUGUGAGAGUGGAAAGUUCACACUGUGACGGUAGCUUACCAGAAAGGGACGGCUAACUACGUGCCAGCAGCCGCGGUAAUACGUAGGUCCCGAGCGUUGUCCGGAUUUAUUGGGCGUAAAGCGAGCGCAGGCGGUUUGAUAAGUCUGAAGUUAAAGGCUGUGGCUCAACCAUAGUUCGCUUUGGAAACUGUCAAACUUGAGUGCAGAAGGGGAGAGUGGAAUUCCAUGUGUAGCGGUGAAAUGCGUAGAUAUAUGGAGGAACACCGGUGGCGAAAGCGGCUCUCUGGUCUGUAACUGACGCUGAGGCUCGAAAGCGUGGGGAGCGAACAGGAUUAGAUACCCUGGUAGUCCACGCCGUAAACGAUGAGUGCUAGGUGUUGGAUCCUUUCCGGGAUUCAGUGCCGCAGCUAACGCAUUAAGCACUCCGCCUGGGGAGUACGACCGCAAGGUUGAAACUCAAAGGAAUUGACGGGGGCCCGCACAAGCGGUGGAGCAUGUGGUUUAAUUCGAAGCAACGCGAAGAACCUUACCAGGUCUUGACAUCCCGAUGCUAUUUCUAGAGAUAGAAAGUUACUUCGGUACAUCGGUGACAGGUGGUGCAUGGUUGUCGUCAGCUCGUGUCGUGAGAUGUUGGGUUAAGUCCCGCAACGAGCGCAACCCCUAUUGUUAGUUGCCAUCAUUCAGUUGGGCACUCUAGCGAGACUGCCGGUAAUAAACCGGAGGAAGGUGGGGAUGACGUCAAAUCAUCAUGCCCCUUAUGACCUGGGCUACACACGUGCUACAAUGGUUGGUACAACGAGUUGCGAGUCGGUGACGGCGAGCUAAUCUCUUAAAGCCAAUCUCAGUUCGGAUUGUAGGCUGCAACUCGCCUACAUGAAGUCGGAAUCGCUAGUAAUCGCGGAUCAGCACGCCGCGGUGAAUACGUUCCCGGGCCUUGUACACACCGCCCGUCACACCACGAGAGUUUGUAACACCCGAAGUCGGUGAGGUAACCUUUGGAGCCAGCCGCCUAAG